rnacentral:rRNA from 1 species
AACGAACGCUGGCGGCAUGCCUAACACAUGCAAGUCGAACGAGACCUUCGGGUCUAGUGGCGCACGUGUGCGUAACGCGUGGGAACCUGCCCUUAGGUUCGGAAUAACUCCUCGAAAGGGGUGCUAAUACCGGAUGAUGUCUUCGGACCAAAGAUUUAUCGCCUAGGGAUGAGCCCGCGUUGGAUUAGCUAGUUGGUGGGGUAAAGGCCUACCAAGGCGACGAUCCAUAGCUGGUCUUAGAGGAUGAUCAGCCACACUGGGACUGAGACACGGCCCAGACUGCUACGGGAGGCAGCAGUGGGGAAUAUUGGACAAUGGGCGAAAGCCUGAUCCAACAAUGCCGCGUGAGUGAUGAAGGCCCUAGGGUUGUAAAGCUCUUUUACCAGGGAUGAUAAUGACAGUACCUGGAGAAUAAGCUCCGGCUAACUCCGUGCCAGCCGCCGCCGUAAGAC